rnacentral:lncRNA from 1 species
UCACGUUGGGAUUACAGGACAGGAAAACCAGCAGGCAGAGGUCAGUAUUGGUGACCAAAAAGGAGCCCGAUGUGAGCGUUCUGAAGGCUUCCGGUAAAAGGCCCUGGCGAAAAUCACACGCAGUUAGUGGCAUCGCCAAGGGAACAUUGUCCAUCAUGUCUCUUUGGGCCUCCUGAUGCUCCACUCGAUGUGAGAAUAUGAGGAUCAAUCAAGAGAAGAGACUAACCUCGAGACAGAGCACUAAAUCGAGCAGAAAACAGGAAGGCCUGUCUUGGGCCUCCAUUUGCGUAAACCUACAGACGCCAUCAACUCCUCCAACAGCCAAGGCCUUUUCUGACCACAAGGGGGCGCCCGCAUCAUGCUUUAAUAUAGUACGUGCUUGGGAUGUUGAGAGCGUGGAAGACUGCAGUCUCAAAAUACAGAUAGGGAAACUGAGGCCAGGAGAAAGCAAAGGGUUCCUAAGUCAUUCUGGGUAAUUUUCUUCUCUGUGAUCUUCACUCCCAUUAAAUUGAGUCAUGGCUUCCACCAAGGAAUACGUUUUACGGAUAUUCCUCCGACACCCGGAUGAAGAAUGCUACUUGCAGACCGCCCCACAAGAGGGAGCACCUGUGAGCCUCUGAGCCCUAUACCCACCACGAGCCUUAGACAGAAUGAGCUUCGUACAAGAUUUUGAUCCAGGGAUUCUGGCUGGGAUGUGGAAAUUGCUAGUCUAGGUAGUCUCAGAGGAGACCCACCAUCCAGAAGCUUCCCAGAUCUAAUCCAGAAAUGUCUGCAGCUUCCAACAUCUAGAGAAGCCUCCGUGAAAAAUUCUGCAGGCAACAAGGGUUAAAACCAAGUCGUUCACUUCAGACAGUACUGUCACAAGGCCAAGACAGUCAUCAGGGAUUGUCACUCAGAGUAACGCUGCUAUUUACUCUGCUUGUCCCAAUUAUCCAUCACUGUUUACAAGUAAAGAAAAUGACUGUGAUGUCGACUCUGACAACCUAGAAUGAGCUGGGAAGAAGGUUUUAAUGAGGAAUUAUUUAGAUUAGGUUGGCCUGGGGCUAUGAAGGAGUUUCGUAAUUGGGUGAAUUGAGUUGGGAAGACCAACUCAUGUAGAAAGCAGGAGGCACCAUUUAUGGGGUAGGUCCAGGAAUGAAUGGGUAGAGAGAGGGCUAAGCACUGUCUUACACGUAAUUAAUGUUUUAUCUGUUUCUGUUUAGGGACGUAAGGGGACAAGCUGCUGCUGUUGUAGUUGACCUGUGAACCCUUUCUUCCCUAGCUUGCAUUUGUCGGGUACAAUGAGGUUCAUGGUGUUUAAGAGAGAUGUUCUCAGGGAUAAAAUUACUUCGUUCCCCAGUUUCUCUAGAGAACCCUCACAUAAAAAGCAGGAACUGGUGGGUACCUGCUGAGCAGACACCCCAGACUCUUCCAGCGGCUCAGUGACUGCCUCACCGUUUGCACAUGUCCCGGCUCUCCACUUAUGCCCAGUUCUUCAUCCUUACCACCAGGAACUCUGUAGACAUUCCCAGAUCUGUUUCCUUGGCAUGAGUCAGCCUCCCAGAGACAGCCGGGGCCAGCCUGGUGACUGCAUAGGGCAGAAGGCUGCCCAGGAUUUGUGCCUUCACCAUGGCAAGGUGACAAGGAGAUUCCUGAGAAGGCACAUGGCACAUAUGUGUGUACAUGCAUCUGGAAGCCAAGACUCAAUGGGCUCCUUCAUUGCUCUCGUCUGAGUAUUUUUAAAACAAACUCUGUCACGGAACCAGUGUAAAACUGCCUUGUCCACAAGCCCCUGGAAUCCACGCGUCUCUGCUUCCCCAGCCCUAGAAUCACAGGAGAACACCACUGCAGCCAGCUGGUUAGAGGUAUAGACUGUUGCUAUCUAGAAUCAGAAGCUGUGGCAUACUGCAACUGUUUCCAUAGUUCCUGGAGGCUACUUUGUAUCCAUCUUGUUCAUCAAACCCUCAGCUCCUGCUUCACCGUAAGGAGCAAAGGAGAGAAUGGCUGAAAUCCUUUGAACUCUUCAAGAUCCUGUUCUCAAUGUCUACAAGGGUUCUACCAAGCCCCACCUCUUAAAGCUUCCACCAGAAGCUGAAGGCCAAGCCUUUGACACAAGGGCCUUUGGAGAAUGCUUCUCUAAGCCAAAGCAGUGACUUACUUCAACUCAGACCAUUUAUCAGUGACACAACCUAGGUUCACACUCACUUGACUCCAUUUAAAAGGACAAGUACUGACUCAAGGGAACUCUAGAGACCCUGAUGGGAAGAGGUGAGGGCCCUCUGGUCUCCAGGGCCCCUGGAAUGGAUUGAUAUUGGCUAGAUAUCCCUCGGGUUCAAAGUGAGAUACUGUUUCCAGGCAAGAAGCAGAGCCUUUUCUGGUAAUUAUAUAUUCUCUGGAGUGGUUUGGGGUUGACAAGCCUGGGCUUCUCCAUCACAGAGUAUCUUUCCCCAAAGAUAUUAUGGCCAUGUCUGAGGCUCCAUGGGAGUCUGUACUGAGCCUGGCUUGCACAAGACAGGUCAAUACAGAGUCAUAGCAUCAACCUAUCUUCCUUGCAUGGAGGACAACCAAAGGAAGUUAUUGCACAGCACUGAUGAAUGUACAUGGAUGAGAUCACAUGUACAGGAAGUGUCAUGAGAGGAGAUAUACAGUCCCAUCUAUGAUAUGCAAAGAACACAGAGGAGCAAUGACCCUCAGAGGGCGUGUGGAAAUACAGACUAAUCACUAAGCACAAGUGUCCAGAGCUGAUAAACUCACUUUAAACAUGAUCCAGGUUAGGACAUGGAGUUCCCACAAGUGGGAUUAAAGAGCAACCUUUACAAAGUUUGAAACUGUAUCUCCAAUUCCAAAAUAAUCCAUGCUAUUUACUUCAUUAUUGGUGUGUGUGUGUGUGUGUGUGUGUGUGUGUGCGUGUGCGUGUAUUAUAUAUGAGUGUGUGCUGUGGGCACACAUGCCCAUACACAGAAGCAGAGGCCAGAGGACACUGAGUCUCCUGCUCUCUCCCUCUCUGCCUUACUCCUUGAAAAAGAACCUAUCACUACACCAGGAGGCCAGCAAGCCCAGGAGGCCAGCAAGCCCAGGAGGCCAGCAAGCCCAGGCAAUCCUCCUGUUUCUGCUUCCCUGUGACACUGGGAUUACAAGCACAUGGAUAUGACUGUAAUGAACUUCUUAAAUGCUAGGGGGCUCAAACUCAGAUCUGAACUGAAACAGUCCCGAAUAUUGGGUUAAUCUUACUGAUUCUUUGAUAAUUUCAUACAAUAUGUUAUCAUAUGUAUCCCCUUCCCUCCCCUUAACUCCUCCAAGAUAAGCUGUACUACUCCUGUUCUUAUGGUGAUGGGGCUAUCCUCUAGAAUGCGGCUGACCUAGCCAGUCGCCACACACUUUAGAAGAAACUGAUUCUCCCUUCCCCAGAUGCCAUCAACCGUCAAUAGCUCCUCAGAUAUGGAGGCGCCUCACUCCAUGCAUACUCAGUGGAAUUCAAGACCCAGGAUCAGAUGCAAAGAAUUAGCAGGGACCAUUCAGCCAGCCCCAUAUUGAGAAGUCAACUCUCUACAGGGAAUGUCAGGUAGGUAAGUAGAAAGAUAAAUGCAAGAGAGAUGUAUGAAUU